GUGAACGCUUGCGGUAGGCCUAACACAUGCAAGUCGAACGGCAGCACAGUAAGAGCUUGCUCUUACGGGUGGCGAGUGGCGGACGGGUGAGGAAUACAUCGGAAUCUACUUUUUCGUGGGGGAUAACGUAGGGAAACUUACGCUAAUACCGCAUACGACCUACGGGUGAAAGCAGGGGAUCUUCGGACCUUGCGCGAUUGAAUGAGCCGAUGUCGGAUUAGCUAGUUGGCGGGGUAAAGGCCCACCAAGGCGACGAUCCGUAGCUGGUCUGAGAGGAUGAUCAGCCACACUGGAACUGAGACACGGUCCAGACUCCUACGGGAGGCAGCAGUGGGGAAUAUUGGACAAUGGGCGCAAGCCUGAUCCAGCCAUACCGCGUAGGUGAAGAAGGCCUUCGGGUUGUAAAGCCCUUUUGUUGGGAAAGAAAAGCAGCAGGUUAAUACCCCGCUGUUCUGACGGUACCCAAAGAAUAAGCACCGGCUAACUUCGUG
rnacentral:rRNA from 1 species